CUGAGGCGUGAUGACGAGGCACUACGGUGCUGAAGCAACAAAUGCCCUGCUUCCAGGAAAAGCCUCUAAGCAUCAGGUAACAUCAAAUCGUACCCCAAACCGACACAGGUGGUCAGGUAGAGAAUACCAAGGCGCUUGAGAGAACUCGGGUGAAGGAACUAGGCAAAAUGGUGCCGUAACUUCGGGAGAAGGCACGCUGACACGUAGGUGAAGUGAUUUACUCAUGGAGCUGAAGUCAGUCGAAGAUACCAGCUGGCUGCAACUGUUUAUUAAAAACACAGCACUGUGCAAACACGAAAGUGGACGUAUACGGUGUGACGCCUGCCCGGUGCCGGAAGGUUAAUUGAUGGGGUCAGCGCAAGCGAAGCUCCUGAUCGAAGCCCCGGUAAACGGCGGCCGUAACUAUAACGGUCCUAAGGUAGCGAAAUUCCUUGUCGGGUAAGUUCCGACCUGCACGAAUGGCGUAAUGAUGGCCAGGCUGUCUCCACCCGAGACUCAGUGAAAUUGAACUCGCUGUGAAGAUGCAGUGUACCCGCGGCAAGACGGAAAGACCCCGUGAACCUUUACUAUAGCUUGACACUGAACAUUGAGCCUUGAUGUGUAGGAUAGGUGGGAGGCUUUGAAGCGUGGACGCCAGUCUGCGUGGAGCCGACCUUGAAAUACCACCCUUUAAUGUUUGAUGUUCUAACGUGGACCCGUAAUCCGGGUUGCGGACAGUGUCUGGUGGGUAGUUUGACUGGGGCGGUCUCCUCCUAAAGAGUAACGGAGGAGCACGAAGGUUGGCUAAUCCUGGUCGGACAUCAGGAGGUUAGUGCAAUGGCAUAAGCCAGCUUGACUGCGAGCGUGACGGCGCGAGCAGGUGCGAAAGCAGGUCAUAGUGAUCCGGUGGUUCUGAAUGGAAGGGCCAUCGCUCAACGGAUAAAAGGUACUCCGGGGAUAACAGGCUGAUACCGCCCAAGAGUUCAUAUCGACGGCGGUGUUUGGCACCUCGAUGUCGGCUCAUCACAUCCUGGGGCUGAAGUAGGUCCCAAGGGUAUGGCUGUUCGCCAUUUAAAGUGGUACGCGAGCUGGGUUUAGAACGUCGUGAGACAGUUCGGUCCCUAUCUGCCGUGGGCGCUGGAGAACUGAGGGGGGCUGCUCCUAGUACGAGAGGACCGGAGUGGACGCAUCACUGGUGUUCGGGUUGUCAUGCCAAUGGCACUGCCCGGUAGCUAAAUGCGGAAGAGAUAAGUGCUGAAAGCAUCUAAGCACGAAACUUGCCCCGAGAUGAGUUCUCCCUGAGACUUUAGAGUCUCCUGAAGGAACGUUGAAGACGACGACGUUGAUAGGCCGGGUGUGUAAGCGCAGCGAUGCGUUGAGCUAACCGGUACUAAUGAACCGUGAGGCUUAACCUU
rnacentral:rRNA from 1 species